GAGNGCGGGCUGGACCUCUCGGGGUUACUCCCUUGCUGAAUUAUUCACCCUUGUCUUUUGAGUACUUCUUGUUUCCUUGGUGGGUUCGCCCACCACUAGGACAAACAUAAACCUUUUGGAAUUGCAAUCAGCGUCAGUAACAAAUUAAUAAUUACAACUUUCAACAACGGAUCUCUUGGUACUGGCAUCGAAGAGAACGCAGCAAGAAUAU
rnacentral:misc_RNA from 1 species